AUACGGAGGAUCCGAGCGUUAUCCGGAUUUAUUGGGUUUAAAGGGUGCGCAGGCGGCCAUUUAAGUCAGCGGUUAAAUCGUGGGGCUCAACCCCAUUCUGCCGUUGAUACUGGGUGGCUUGAUUGCGGUCGAGGUUGGCGGAAUUCGUUGUGUAGCGGUGAAAUGCAUAGAUAUGACGAAGAACACCGAUUGCGUAGGCAGCUGACCAGACCGCAAAUGACGCUCAUGCACGAAAGUGCGGGGAUCGAACAGGAUUAGAUACCCUGGUAGUCCGCACAGUAAACGAUGAAUACUUGUUUUCGGCGAUAUAAUGUCAGAGGCAAAGCGAAAGCGAUACGUAUUCCACCUGGGGAGUACGCCGGCAACGGUGAAACUCAAAGGAAUUGACGGGG
rnacentral:rRNA from 1 species